rnacentral:lncRNA from 1 species
GUUCAAAUGUAGUUAAAACACACUCCAUUAACCAUGUAGCUAGCAAUUUUUUUUUUUCUGAAAUAGAUAGGUACCUGUCAGAAGGCACUCCUCAAAUAGAAACAGAUGCAAUAAUGAACAAUGGACUUAGGUAUGACUCACCCUCCAGUCCAACAAGCUCCUUCCCUAUCCAACCCAGGGAAUAUAUAUCUAAGUAUAACCAUGCAGUUAGGUAAGAAGGACAUUUCUAAGUGUAUCCUCAUGCCAGGGAAUUUAUUUUUAUUAAGAGAACUGGGAGGGAGGGAUCAUAUAACUUGUAAGAGUUUAAGAUUAUCAUGAAGAAUCAGUGAAAAUUAGUUACCAGUGAAUCUGGGUGUUCAGCAUCAAUGAGGUAGAGAGAAGUGGGACAGGGCACUUUCAUUUUGAAAGGUUGAACUUGCCAUCUUGAAUAAUUCUCCUAUUAGUUGGUGUCCAUCUUAGGUCAGUGGCCAAGAUAAAAUGCAAUAAAUAGGUAUGUCUGAAGUUUUCAAUAACUUUAGGAAUGCAAAUCAAUUCAUGGAAGUUUUUUUUAAAAUAUUUAUUUUUUAGCUGUAGUUGGACACAAUACAUUUAUUUCACUUAUUAUUUUUAUGUGGUGCUGAGAAUUAAACCCAGGGUCUCACACAUGCGAGGCAAGCGCUCUACCGCUGAGCCACAACCCCAGCCUUCAUGGAAAUUUUUUCUAAAUCUUUAAAACUCCUUGCAUUAGGUUAAGAUUGUACCAACAGAAAAGGAAAAAUGAGUUAAAGAAAAAAAAUUCAAGAACAGGAAACAGGAAAGGAAGAGUUAGUAAUAAAGAAACUUUUUGGGCCGGGUACCAAUAACUGUUUUAGUUGCCACUUAGUGCAUUCAUGUUCUGGGUCCCCUGUGCUUCACACCAAUCAGUGAAAACCAACAGGAUGAACACCAACAGGAUUUGCUCUGACAAGCACCAAUAAAAGUAAAGCUGCUGUCUGUAUUAGCAGUAAACUAAUGACCCUGAGAUAUGCCUUCCCUGUCAGUCUUACUAUUCUGUCAUGUUCCUAAAUUGACUGGUCAGAAACACCUGUUAUAAAAACCAGACUCUUGGGCUCCACUAUAGACCUAUUGAAUCCAAAUCUCUGGGCAUCUGAAAUAUGUUUGCUUAUUUUUAUUUUUAAGCUCCUCAGUGUGAAUGUAUAGCUAUCUUUAUUUUUUCCUGAAACGUUUUGGGAAUAGGAUUACAUUUCUUUUAAAGAAAAAUAAUCUAAAGAAGUUUUGUAAAAAAGUACUAAAUACAAAAAUAUCUAUGAUG